UACAGAGGGGGCAAGCGUUGUUCGGAAUUAUUGGGCGUAAAGAGCUCGUAGGCGGUUUGUCGCGUCUGCUGUGAAAUCCCGAGGCUCAACCUCGGGCUUGCAGUGGGUACGGGCAGACUAGAGUGCGGUAGGGGAGAUUGGAAUUCCUGGUGUAGCGGUGGAAUGCGUAGAGAUCGGGAAGAACAUCAGUGGCGAAGGCGGCCUGCUGGGCUGUUGCUGACGCUGAGGCGCGACAGCGUGGGGAGCAAACAGG
rnacentral:rRNA from 1 species